rnacentral:rRNA from 1 species
CACGAAACCAGGCGAGCUACUACGGGACGUAUUAUAGUACAAAAUAUGUAGCAUAAUAAUAGUAGAUCUCGUAGUAGGAGUGAUAGGCUACCCAAGUUUGGUGAUAUCUUGUUUACCUUGAAAUGUAUUGAGUACAUUCCCAGUUUAUUAGUGAUAAGGCUGAUAAAAAGUAUGUAAUUCGAUUAUUUAUGUAAGCAUAGUUUAACCGCUAGCUGACCUAUAAAUUUAACAUUAAUAUCCGCACAUAGUAAGACGUAAAGGUUAGUAUUUAAUUUAUGUCGCUAUUUAUAUUGUAAACAUAAGUAAUCAAAGACACUGUUGAUGAACUCGGCAACAUUUCUUUCACCUGUUUAUCAAAAACACCGCCAGUAGGAGGUAUUAUUGGUUUAUUCUGCUCCAUGUAACUAUAAAUAGCCGCAGUACCCUGACUGUGCAAAGGUAGCAUAAUCAUUUGGCUUAUAAUUGAAGUCUGGCAUGAAAGAAUGCAUGGGGGAAAACUCUAUUGAUAGUGAUAAUAUGAAGUUGCUUAGUGGGUGCAAAUACCCAUUUCUUAAUAAUAGACGAGAAGACCCUUGAAAUUUUUAUGAUGUGUUUGGGAGAGUUUUUGUUGGGGCAACAACGUAACAUUAAAUCUACGGUGAUUACACGACACUUUGUGGUAAGAUUAAAUUACUCUAGGGAUAACAGCGUAAUUCUUUAGAGUUUGCGACCUCGAUGUUGGACUAGGAAGCGAUUACUAGAA